UACGAAGGGGGCUAGCGUUGCUCGGAAUCACUGGGCGUAAAGCGCACGUAGGCGGAUUGCUAAGUCAGGGGUGAAAUCCUGGAGCUCAACUCCAGAACUGCCUUUGAUACUGGCGAUCUUGAGUCCGGGAGAGGUGAGUGGAACUCCGAGUGUAGAGGUGAAAUUCGUAGAUAUUCGGAAGAACACCAGUGGCGAAGGCGGCCCACUGGCCCGGUACUGACGCUGAGGUGCGAAAGCGUGGGGAGCAAACAGG
rnacentral:rRNA from 1 species